rnacentral:rRNA from 1 species
UACAGAGGUCGCAAGCGUUGUUCGGAUUCAUUGGGCGUAAAGGGCGCGUAGGCGGCGCGGUAAGUCGGGUGUGAAAUCUCGGAGCUUAACUCCGAAACUGCAUUCGAUACUGCGGUGCUUGAGGACUGGAGAGGAGACUGGAAUUCAUGGUGUAGCAGUGAAAUGCGUAGAGAUCAUGAGGAAGACCAGUGGCGAAGGCGGGUAUCUGGACAGUUCCUGACACUGAGACACGAAGGCCAGGGGAGCAAACGGG